UACGGAGGGGGCUAGCGUUGUUCGGAAUUACUGGGCGUAAAGCGCACGUAGGCGGCUUCGUAAGUUAGAGGUGAAAGCCCAGGGCUCAACCCUGGAAUUGCCUUUAAGACUGCAUCGCUUGAACAUCGGAGAGGUAAGUGGAAUUCCGAGUGUAGAGGUGAAAUUCGUAGAUAUUCGGAAGAACACCAGUGGCGAAGGCGACUUACUGGACGAUUGUUGACGCUGAGGUGCGAAAGCGUGGGGAGCAAACAGG
rnacentral:rRNA from 1 species